CGAGCUGAUAAUAGUGACAAGCUAUCUAGAUCAAACACCUUUGAAUUGUUGCGCUGUGUAGGAAUAGGCAAGGACAUUUUGCCGCUUGCGCAUGCUUAUUUUGAUUCACUCGUUAUCCACGAAGGUGGACGUUUUACUAGUGAAGCGAUUGUCUGCAGUCAAAUUGUUAGUCAGUGAAGGUAAAAAUCGGUUAUGCCUUAAAGCACGUGCAAUACAGACCUUUAUUUAUAAAAUGGUAUCGAGUUUACAUAGAAUUUCAGUUAUAUUCAGCAUUUUAUUGUGGUUUUGUGUUAGUGCUUCAAGUGGAGAUUCGGACUUGUUCUUGAAAGGGGAUGAAUCCUCGCCAUGUUCUUCUAAACAAUUCACAUGCGCCGACAAAAAGUGUGUACCAAUAUUUUUUUUAUGCGACGGCGAGAAGGACUGUGAGGAUGGAUCAGACGAGGAUCCUGAGGCAUGUCUGA